UGGGGAAUAUUGCACAAUGGGCGCAAGCCUGAUGCAGCGACGCCGCGUGAGGGAUGACGGCCUUCGGGUUGUAAACCUCUUUCGCCAGGGACGAAGCGCAAGUGACGGUACCUGGAGAAGAAGGACCGGCCAACUACGUGCCAGCAGCCGCGGUAAUACGUAGGGUCCGAGCGUUGUCCGGAAUUACUGGGCGUAAAGAGCUCGUAGGUGGUUUGUCGCGUUGUUCGUGAAAACUCACAACUCAAUUGUGGGCGUGCGGGCGAUACGGGCAGACUGGAGUACUGCAGGGGAGACUGGAAUUCCUGGUGUAGCGGUGGAAUGCGCAGAUAUCAGGAGGAACACCGGUGGCGAAGGCGGGUCUCUGGGCAGUAACUGACGCUGAGGAGCGAAAGCGUGGGGAGCGAACA
rnacentral:rRNA from 1 species